rnacentral:rRNA from 1 species
UACGUAGGGUGCGAGCGUUGUCCGGAAUUACUGGGCGUAAAGAGCUCGUAGGCGGUUUGUCGCGUCUGCCGUGAAAGUCCGGGGCUCAACUCCGGAUCUGCGGUGGGUACGGGCAGACUAGAGUGAUGUAGGGGAGACUGGAAUUCCUGGUGUAGCGGUGAAAUGCGUAGAUAUCGAGAGGAACACCUGCGGCGAAGGCGGGUUGCUGGGCUGACACUGACGCUGGAUUGUGCGAAAGCUAGGGGAGCGAACGGG